AUUGAACGCUGGCGGCAGGCCUAACACAUGCAAGCCGAGCGGCAGCGGGUCCUUCGGGAUGCCGGCGAGCGGCGGACGGGUGAGUAAUGCCUAGGAAUCUGCCUGGCAGUGGGGGAUAACGUUCGGAAACGGACGCUAAUACCGCAUACGUCCUACGGGAGAAAGUGGGGGAUCUUCGGACCUCACGCUAUCAGAUGAGCCUAGGUCGGAUUAGCUAGUUGGUGGGGUAAAGGCUCACCAAGGCGACGAUCCGUAACUGGUCUGAGAGGAUGAUCAGUCACACUGGAACUGAGACACGGUCCAGACUCCUACGGGAGGCAGCAGUGGGGAAUAUUGGACAAUGGGCGAAAGCCUGAUCCAGCCAUGCCGCGUGUGUGAAGAAGGUCUUCGGAUUGUAAAGCACUUUAAGUUGGGAGGAAGGGCAGUAAGUUAAUACCUUGCUGUUUUGACGUUACCAACAGAAUAAGCACCGGCUAACUUCGUGCCAGCCGCCGCCGUAA
rnacentral:rRNA from 1 species